GUCAGAGAUAAUAUUUGCCAUUUACAUACCCAACAAAGGAUUUGUAUUUAAAAUAUAUAAGAAUGUCUUCAAAUUAAUAAUGAAAAAAGGAAAACCAGAGGUUGUACUCCUAGAUUGGCAGCAUGAAGAGCUCUGUAGACACCUCUGAAGGAAAACAACCUCAACUAAUGAAAGCUGUUGGAACAACCAACCAUUAAGUGUCUCUAGAAGUUUAAGGGUAGGAAUACAGCCAAAAAAGAAAUGUUUAUUAAAGAAAAAAAUCUAAUAAACCCUAAAUUUGAGUAAGAGCAUCCAGUAGAUGGCACUUGAGGCAUGAAGUGCCGUGGCCUGAAGUGGGACUCCUUCCCACAGGUCCCUGUCCAGGAUCCAGGAUCUCCUAGAAGAGACAGGCCACCAGCAUUUCUUACCCACCAUGAGUCACACUGCCUAUCUUUCUGACAAGUGAGGCUGGGAGGUUGGGGGAGCCUCUCCCUCCCGCAUCCCCCACCCCAGGGCAGGCUCUCUGUCUGUGGCUUGGCGAGCCGAAGUUGUGGAGCGCUCCCCAUCCCUGCCCACUCCACUCGCAGGAUGGGGGCUCCAUGGUGGUGGGGCAGGCUGGUAGAGACGGCCAAAAGCAACUGUCCUCACCCAGUAGUCUCCUAAUAAAACAGGACUGUCACUCCAAAAGAAGUGGGCCUCGGUCCUCACCCUUAACUCCAGAGCGGUGGCUUGUAGAUUUUUUUUUUUUUUAAUCCAUAAGGGGAACAGCAGUUCAGAAGAACAGAGAUCUGAAGCUCUCGCCAAAAGAACUAACUAUAUGUAAAAUAGAGUUUCUGGAAAAUCCAAACCUACAAGUACUUUUUUGGGAAAAAAAAAGAUUGUGGCGGG
rnacentral:lncRNA from 1 species